GUCUCCGUCUGAUCCUGACCCUGUGCGCCACACCCCGGGCCGCGGGUCUGGUUUUGUCCCGUUUUAAGUGCGCCGCCUCUCGCAUGACACUGAUUCGCGGGACGACAUAUCAGGCGGCUGACGGUAAGCGGUCGGUUUUAGUCCCGAGCAGAUGCUCGCUCUCAAUAGCAGACAGCUGUCACUAUUGUUGUUUGUGGUCCGCCACAACCAUAUUUGCAGCUGCUACUACCGCGCGCCCAACAAUGAAGGAAGGGGGGGAGGAGGAGGGGGGGCUAAAACAUCGAUGGCGCGUGGCGGAUAAUAAUGCCGCGAUUAACCUUGGCGCGUGCAGUCGGCCGGGCUCCUCCCACCACCACCACCCGGAUUAAGUUACCGGGCAGGCGCCAUACUGUACUUAAUGAAGUUCCUCGUUAGAUGCUGUCCGUCUGAACCGCUGUUGCCUGGACAGAAGAGCGUAGCUUGACGCCCGGAAAGAUGGAUCUGACACAUCCAGCCUGACAAGAACACAAACCCUGAUCUCCUGGAUGAAAGUCCUGUGUGAGGCCCUCCACUCAACACUGUCUACUUUGGGACUUUGUCACUCUCUGUACUACGUCUAGUAGAGCAGUUCUACCAGUAAGACAGGGCAGGGCAGUGUGAUCAGACCUUAUCCAGGUCAUGCCAGGAGGGCAGGAGGUACCAGGAAGAAUGAAGUAAGUCCUCCGUCCUCCUCAAGGACUCCUUCUUCCAAGGUUUAUCCAGGAAUUGAAAGAGCAGCCCUGCCUCAAGAUAUAUGAACUGUGAUUCCUGAGAGCCCGAGUGCUUGUUGGAGAGGGUUUUUCGUGGCUUGUUGUUGUUGGCGUUAUUCUAUGCAUUCAUGCAUUAUGUCUGUGAUUGUGCUGGAAGUGGAAUACCUCAUGGAAUGCAGGGAUUGAGAAAAAACAGUGAAGGGCAAUCCCACCCUUAUUUGUAGUCACAUCGUGUUCUGUUAACUUUUAAUGCAGAUAAAUGCUGAAUGAUUUAAGUGUGUGCGUGUACUCAGGUAUGCUGUGAUGGGAGGUCUUAUCCCUUCAAAUAUGUAGCCCGAAGGUAAAAAGGAUGUAUCUUAGUGGAGAGCUGCAGGGGGAAUUGGCUCUCCAAAUGAAUGCAAACGUGACAUUUCGGGUUGAAUAAUCUUCAGCGGUCUGGACAAAUGUUGACAUUUUGUGAAAGUGAUCCAACUACAGAGACUGACAGUAAGCCAUGCUUGUAUCCCGCUUUCGUCUCAGCUGGAACUUUUAACACACGGGAAGAUAAAAAACUCUGUCCUGUGGAAUACCAAUCAGAAGAGCUCAGAGGUGGAGGAGGUACUCAGAUCUUGCACUCUAGUUAAGGUAGCGAUGCCACAGUGGAGGAACACUACAAGGAAAACAGGUUACAAGUAGAAGACAUGCAUUCCAAUUCAUACUUAAAGGAGCAACGUUUUACAGUGGGCCCAGGGCAAUUUGGGAAAUUAAGCUCGUCUUAGUUCAUUAAAAGAGAGAAAUUUGAA